GCAGCGACGCCGCGUGGGGGAUGACGGCCUUCGGGUUGUAAACCCCUUUCAGUAGGGAAGAAGCGAGAGUGACGGUACCUGCAGAAGAAGCGCCGGCUAACUACGUGCCAGCAGCCGCGGUAAUACGUAGGGCGCAAGCGUUGUCCGGAAUUAUUGGGCGUAAAGAGCUUGUAGGUGGCUUGUCGCGUCUGCCGUGAAAACCCGAGGCUCAACCUCGGGCGUGCGGUGGGUACGGGCAGGCUAGAGUGUGGUAGGGGAGACUGGAACUCCUGGUGUAGCGGUGAAAUGCGCAGAUAUCAGGAAGAACACCGAUGGCGAAGGCAGGUCUCUGGGCCAUUACUGACACUGAGAAGCGAAAGCAUGGGUAGCGAACAGGAUUAGAUACCCUGGUAGUCCAUGCCGUAAACGUUGGGCACUAGGUGUGGGGGACAUUCCACGUUCUCCGCGCCGUAGCUAACGCAUUAAGUGCCCCGCCUGGGGAGUACGGCCGCAAGGCUAAAACUCAAAGGAAUUGACGGGGGCCCGCACAAGCGGCGGAGCAUGCUGAUUAAUUCGAUGCAACGCGAAGAACCUUACCAAGGCUUGAC
rnacentral:rRNA from 1 species